UACAGAGGUGGCAAGCGUUGUUCGGAAUUACUGGGCGUAAAGCGUACGUAGGCGGUUACUCAAGUCAGAGGUGAAAGCCCGGGGCUCAACCCCGGAACUGCCUUUGAAACUAGGUAGCUAGAAUCUUGGAGAGGUCAGUGGAAUUCCGAGUGUAGAGGUGAAAUUCGUAGAUAUUCGGAAGAACACCAGUGGCGAAGGCGACUGACUGGACAAGCAUUGACGCUGAGGUACGAAAGCGUGGGGAGCAAACAGG
rnacentral:rRNA from 1 species